rnacentral:ncRNA from 1 species
AAUCAAGCAAAAAAGAGCGCAGGGUGGAUGCCUUGGCACUAAGAGCCGAAGAAAGACGUGAUAAGCUGCGAAAAGCUGCGGGGAGAUGCAAAUAAUCUUUGAUCCGCAGAUGUCUGAAUGGGGAAACCCGGCUGGAAGGACUCCAGUCAUCCAUACGCCAAUCCAUAACGUAUGGAAGGGAACCCGGUGAACUGAAACAUCUAAGUAGCCGGAGGAAGAGAAAGAAACAUCGAUUUCCAGAGUAGCGGCGAGCGAAAUGGAAAGAGGCCAAACCGUUGUGCGUGCACAGCGGGGUUCGGACCGCAUAAUUGAUUCAGUGAUUCUAGCAGAAAGGUUUUGGGAAAGCCUGCCGGAGAGGGUGAAAGCCCCGUAAGCGAAAGGAAAACUGACAAGGCGGGAUCCAGAGUACUGCGAGACACGUGGAACCUUGCAGGAAGUCGGGGGGACCACCCCCCAAGGCUAAAUACUCCUUAGUGACCGAUAGCGCAUAGUACU